AAUUGACCUCGGAUCAGGUAGGGAUACCCGCUGAACUUAAGCAUAUCAAUAAGCGGAGGAAAAGAAACCAACAGGGAUUGCCUCAGUAACGGCGAGUGAAGCGGCAGCAGCUCAAAUUUGAAAUCUGGCCCUUUCAGGGUCCGAGUUGUAAUUUGUAGAAGAUGUUUCGGGCGCGGUGCCGGUCUAAGUCCCUUGGAACAGGGCGUCGCAGAGGGUGAGAAUCCCGUAUGUGACCGGCGGCCAACCCCAUGUGAAACUCUUUCGACGAGUCGAGUUGUUUGGGAAUGCAGCUCAAAAUGGGUGGUAAAUUUCAUCUAAAGCUAAAUACCGGCCAGAGACCGAUAGCGCACAAGUAGAGUGAUCGAAAGAUGAAAAGCACUUUGGAAAGAGAGUUAAAAAGUACGUGAAAUUGUUGAAAGGGAAGCGCUCGCCACCAGACCUGCCCACGGACGAUCAGCGGUAGUUCUCUGCCGUGCACUCGUGCGUGACCAGGCCAGCAUCGGUUUCGGCGGCCGGAUAAAGAUCCUUGGAAUGUGGCUCCCUUCGGGGGGUGUUAUAGCCUUGGGUGCCAUACGGCCAGCUGGGACCGAGGACCGCGCUUCGGCUAGGAUGCUGGCGUAAUGGUUGUGAGCGACCCGUCUUGAAACACGGACCAAGGAGUCUAACAUCUAUGCGAGUGUUUGGGUGUGAAACCCAUACGCGCAAUGAAAGUAAACGGAGGUGGGAACCCUUCAGGGCGCACCAUCGACCGAUCCAGAAGUUUACGGAUGGAUUUGAGUACGAGCAUAGCUGUUGGGACCCGAAAGAUGGUGAACUAUGCCUGAAUAGGGUGAAGCCAGAGGAAACUCUGGUGGAGGCUCGCAGCGGUUCUGACGUGCAAAUCGAUCGUCAAAUUUGGGUAUAGGGGCGAAAGACUAAUCGAACCAUCUGCAACGGAACCUCUCUGGAUGGUUCGGAUCAGGCUGGCGGGCCAGCCUGAAGAGUCCUCCUCGGAGGGCCACAUCGCUAGUCUCUGGGCAUGCCUGCGGGCGACCUACAGCGGGGGUUGUGCCCCCGUUCACAGACUAAACGGCGGUGGUCGCGGGGCGGACGCCGCCCGGCGAUUGGGAGAUAGUCGGUUCCUCCCGGGCUGCGGGAGGCGCAAAAGAGUAGCUGGUUCCUGCCGAAGUUUCCCUCAGGAUAGCAGUAACGUUUUCAGUUUUAUGAGGUAAAGCGAAUGAUUAGAGGCCUUGGGGUUGAAACAACCUUAACCUAUUCUCAAACUUUAAAUAUGUAAGAAGUCCUUGUUACUUAGUUGAACGUGGACAUUUGAAUGCACCG
rnacentral:rRNA from 1 species